rnacentral:lncRNA from 1 species
GUUCAUAAGACAAAGAGCAGCUAUAGAGACACCAUCUUCGUUCUUGGUCAAGUACUUGCAAACCGGACCAAGCCCGUAAAUCCUCUCGACGCUGUCUCCGCCGGGAAUGGUUCGGUUGGAGCAGGUGAGGAUGGAGUAAGACGUGAGAAGACGGAGGAUUCGGUCGAGCAUGACCGGAGCUUCGGGGUUUUUGGUCUGAAGUUUAGAAGCAAUCUCAGAUGGAGACAUCGGAGAAGAGUUCUUGGCCAUGAUCUCGAGAAGAUCAAGGUCUAAGGCGGACUUUAAAACCAUGGGAAGAACGGAGGCGCUGGCUAGCUGCAUGGCAAAGAGAGCGGCUUCGUCGUCGGUGACUUGUACCGGAGUUAUCUGUGUCUCCGCCGUUGAUCCCAUUUUUCUUGGAUUCUCUAAGAUAUUCUUGGGAUGUUUCUUUUUCUUUUGUUUCUUUGUUUUGAGAGGAGUGUGUGAUGGGUGAGAAGUAGGACGUUAAGAGGUUUAUUUAUAUGAAAAUAUAUUAUAAGAAGGUAGACAAGUGGCAUUUUUUUUUAACUCAAGUUUCUGAUCUAGCUUAAUUACAUGGUCCAAUUGAAUGAAAACAAUUCAGAACUUUUUUGUAUUUUAUAAGAGAGCCCGCUAUUUGUGAAGUAUUUCAUUUACGAUCCCUUCUACAGAAACAACUACACUUUAUUAUGUGCAUAUAUUUCAUCCAUACCCUUUAAACAUUGGAAAUGGUGAUUCAUUAUGCUGGCCCAUACCGACUUUAACGUAUUUUGUUAUAUUGAAUAUGUUAAACUUUCUAUAAAUUUCGGUAGCAGUAACUAGUCUUCCAUUUUUAGCGAGGACUUUAGCGAGUACUUGACAAUUCUAUGUACUGCUAACUUUUGUUUUUAACAAAGCAGAUUAUAUCUAAAAUUAAUCAUAACUUUUUUAAAGUUUGCAUCACUCUUACAUUUAUUAUUCUUACUAAAAAAACUGCGUCAAAUUUUUUCUUAAGUGUUAAUAAGUCAUAUAUAACCUAUAAGCUCACCAUCAAUUUUUUUUCUAUAGCAUAUCAGAUUUUGUCUACUAAAAACUUAAAAAGAAAUUUGUCAUCAAAGUUUUCUAACAAAAAAAAAAGAAUAUAUCCUAAGUUUGAUUUAAAACCGAUGAUAAAUUCAUAAUUGGUUUUAGAUUUUCAAUGUUUAACUGUUUAGCUUAAUUAAUAACAGUUAUACAAAAUAGAUUUAUAAAUAAAACAAAAAACUGUUAAACUAUAAAAAUCAAGAUACAAAAAAUGAAUGAGUAGAUGCGUUAAGGGGAAAAUGAAAAUAUGUUAACUACUAAUUAAGAAUGUGUGGAUUUUAUGUAUCAUGAAAACUAUAGAAAAUAAAUUUAUUAAUGAUCUUAACCAGAAACUAAUACACUAAAAACUAUUAAUUGAAAACUAUCUUAGAAUUAUAAACCGUUCAGAAAGAAAAAAAGGACCACUUUAAAAUUAGAUACAUCAAUAAAUAAAUAAGAAAAUCGCAUAAAAAAACUUUGAAAAUGUUAGUUACUAACACUUUAAACUUUGAAAUUUUUUCAUUAAUACUUUUAACUUUCAAAAUGACAUUUAUAUCACAAAAACUUCCAAAGUAAAAAAUUGACCUCUUGAACAAGUAAAAAAAUGAUGUCAGUUUUUUUUAAAAUAAUUAUUUAAUUAAUAAGACUAACAAAAAACUAAAUAAAAACCAGAAAAUUAAAUAAAAAUAGAAAAGUAAUAAACCUUAUAAAAUAAAUAAAAAUUCAGAAAAUAAAUUAAAUAUUAGAAAAUUAAAAAAAAAAAAAUCAUAAAUUUUAAAAUAAAUUUGAAAAUUCAAAAGUUUGAAUAAAAAAGUUUGUUUCCAUUUUCAACAGUGAUGUCGAAAAUAAUUAUUGGAGAUAUGCAAAAAAUAGUCAUUGUUAAUGGUUAUAUGAGAAACUAUCAAUGUCACUAGUGAUAUAUUUGGAAAUUUUAUUUUCACGAUGAUAUGGUAUAUUUUUUUAAAAAAAAUCUUAUAAUUAAAAAACUAUUUUAAUUUUUGAAUUUUCUAAAUUUUAUAAUUUUUUUGAAAUUUAUGAAUUUUUAUUUAGUUAUUCUGUAUUUUAAUUUUAUUUUAUUUAUUAUGGAAUUUUUAGUUAUUUUAUUUUUCUUUAAUUUUAAAUAUUUAUUUAGUUUUCCGAAAUUUUAUUUAUUUUUUUUAGUUUUCGGAAUUUUAUUAAAUUGUUCGAUUUUUAAUUUUUUGAAUUUUUAUUUAAUUUUUUUGUUUAUUUUAUUUAUUAAAUCAUUAUUUUGAAAAAAAAACUUACACAUCAUUUUUUACAUGUUCAACAGGUCAAUUUUUUACUUUAGAGAUUUUUAUGAUAUAAAUGUCAUUUUGAAAAUUAAAAGCAAAGUUUUUAAAUCUGACCCGGACACUGAACCAGACGACUUACCGGAUUGUUGGGUUACUAGGUCGACCACGGGUGAACCGCGGAUUAAUAAAUAAAUAAAAUUUAUUAUAUAAUAAUAUAUUAGGUAUGUAAAUAUAAAUAUAGAAACUAAAUUUUAAUAUUUUCUAAAAAAAAAUUAAAACAUAAAAUAAUAGUUUGGAUAUGUAUAUAUUUUAUGUUUAAAAACUUUUAGAAAAUACUUAAAUUUUCUUUUAUAUUUUUAUUUUCAUUUGACAUACAAAAUAUCAAAAAGUAGUUUAGACUAUUUAAAAAUUUCUCCAACAAAGUAAGAUUUACGACAUUUAAAAAAAUCAAGACAUAAAAUUUAUAAAUAUUUAAAUAUCUAAUUGAAUAAUAAAUUAAACUUCAAAUACAAAAUAAACCAAAAGUAAAAGAUCAUUGUAAUAAAAUGUCAAUACCGCUUCUGUGUCUGUUAUAGAGAUAUAUUUAUGGUUUUUUGGUAUAAAAUCGAAUAAACCGAAAACCGACGGUAUAUAAACCGAACCGAACCGAAGUAAAUAUGGAUUUAGAAUGGUAGUUAUAUUUUACUAACCAAAAUACCGAAAACCGAAAAAAACCGAACCUAAACCGAACCGAUAUCCGGAUUGAACACCCCUAUAAUAUAUAAGGGAUUAUUAAACAUCAUAGUUUUAAAACAAAGACGGUGAAGUAGACGUACAUAAGAGCAUUGUUUACAUAUAAAAUCAUUAUUACAUGGAUUGUGCGUGUGUGUUUUACAUCUUUUUGAGCAGCUCAAUAACGUAAACACCAAAAGCAUUGCAGGCAACAUUGAUGCCUUUGAAGCCUGAUCCUUUAGCUAAUGCCUCGAACUCUUUCUCGGUCCGUUCUUUGCCUCCAGGGUUAUGAGCCAACAUAAUGCAAUCAACAUGGACUACUUGUUUGGUCGAGAGGCUUGAGUCUGGUGUCUCUGGAAGUAUACACUCUGCUAGUAUCACUUUUCCAUCCUCUGGAAGCGCCUCGUAGCAGUUCUUCAAGAAUUUCACGCAGUGUUCAUCGCUCCAGUCGUGGCAUAUCCACUGUUACAACAAUGAAACAAAUCAAAACGUUUUGAGAUUUAAUUUCCUUGAUUAAUUACUUAUAAAUGUCAAAAGAGUUUUCGGUAUAGGAGCUUUGGUUAUUACUAACCUUCAUGAAAAUAGCAUCACCUUUAGGGACGCUUACAAACAUAUCUCCUCCAACAUGAUCAAUACCUGUAUUAAAUUUAACAAUUAAUCAAAUCUCUUAAUCAUAUGUAAAUGAAAUCAUAUAUAGUAUUGUGAAAUGUUAGGAAAAUGUAAUAUACCGGGAUGAGAAGUAGCUUCUUCAAUGACAUGUGGGAGAUCAAAGUUGAUGCCUUUAAGGUCAGGGUACUUAGAGACGAUCAUUUUGAGAGUAGCACCAAUGCCACCACCAACGUCAACCAAAGAAGUCAAACCCUCAAAACCCUUGUAGGUCUCGAGAAUCUUCUUCAUUGUGAUGGUUGAAUGGUUAGACAUUCCAUUGUUGAAGACCGUGUUGAACCUUAGAUCCUUCCCGUGGUACUCAAAAGCGCUCAUUCCAUAAGCCUUGUUGAAUGGAAUCCCACCAUCAAGAACUGCAUCUUUCAAAUGGUACCUGAAACAAGUAUCGUUGGUAUGAGUUUAAGAAAACACACACAUUCACACAAAGCUUAAUCUAACCGUUUUUAUUUAUCACUAGUUAGGAUAUUUUUUUUAUAAAUUGAUCUCCAGAUAAUCUAUUGAUCAGACUUGAUCCACCUGAGGUUGAUUAUAAUUGGUUAUCAUGAUAGAGCUGCCGGUAUGCAAAGAGAACCAGCCGGUUUGAAAUUAUGUUUCUAUAUUCCUUUGCUAGCUGCUAAAUAAUCGGAAGACCGGUUCUCUUCUUAUUAUAGUUUCCUUAAAUGAUCCUCAAUAAAGGGAAGAACAAUUACAUCUUCUCUAUUUAGAACCAUGAAACACGUUGACAAGAAAAUGAAACACAAAAUAAAAUAAUAAUAAUAGAGUGUUUUCUGCAAAAAAAAAACCUCUACAUUGAAUACAACAAAAAUAUUUAAAGCUAUGAAACAACUAGAGUACAGAGUGUGUUUUUUAAUUUUCCUCUUAUUAUUUUGUAUAGUACUAGCAAACAAAAAUUUCAACGAUAGAGCUCGCUUAACCACUAAAAAUGUUAUAUAGUUUUUUAGUGGAAGCAGAUAUAGAAAACGUGUCAACGCAUCAUUUUGUCUGAUUGUCUAUGACACUUUGUGGCCGAGUCUCUCUCAUCUUUACCUUUGCACAAUUCAAUUUUAAUCAUCACAUGAUUCACAUCAACCAAGAACCAUAGCUUAUGAAACAAAAUUAUCAAAGAAGAAGCUUUUUUUUUCUAACUUGAUAUAGCCACAAGAUCUAUCCAAUGAAGAUGUCUUGGUAAUAUCUUAAAAAACUUACCAGCUUUCCAUGAGAACCUUGUCUUGGUUCAUAAGACAAAGAGCAGCUAUAGAGACACCAUCUUCGUUCUUGGUCAAGUACUUGCAAACCGGACCAAGCCCGUAAAUCCUCUCGACGCUGUCUCCGCCGGGAAUGGUUCGGUUGGAGCAGGUGAGGAUGGAGUAAGACGUGAGAAGACGGAGGAUUCGGUCGAGCAUGACCGGAGCUUCGGGGUUUUUGGUCUGAAGUUUAGAAGCAAUCUCAGAUGGAGACAUCGGAGAAGAGUUCUUGGCCAUGAUCUCGAGAAGAUCAAGGUCUAAGGCGGACUUUAAAACCAUGGGAAGAACGGAGGCGCUGGCUAGCUGCAUGGCAAAGAGAGCGGCUUCGUCGUCGGUGACUUGUACCGGAGUUAUCUGUGUCUCCGCCGUUGAUCCCAUUUUUCUUGGAUUCUCUAAGAUAUUCUUGGGAUGUUUCUUUUUCUUUUGUUUCUUUGUUUUGAGAGGAGUGUGUGAUGGGUGAGAAGUAGGACGUUAAGAGGUUUAUUUAUAUGAAAAUAUAUUAUAAGAAGGUAGACAAGUGGCAUUUUUUUUUAACUCAAGUUUCUGAUCUAGCUUAAUUACAUGGUCCAAUUGAAUGAAAACAAUUCAGAACUUUUUUGUAUUUUAUAAGAGAGCCCGCUAUUUGUGAAGUAUUUCAUUUACGAUCCCUUCUACAGAAACAACUACACUUUAUUAUGUGCAUAUAUUUCAUCCAUACCCUUUAAACAUUGGAAAUGGUGAUUCAUUAUGCUGGCCCAUACCGACUUUAACGUAUUUUGUUAUAUUGAAUAUGUUAAACUUUCUAUAAAUUUCGGUAGCAGUAACUAGUCUUCCAUUUUUAGCGAGGACUUUAGCGAGUACUUGACAAUUCUAUGUACUGCUAACUUUUGUUUUUAACAAAGCAGAUUAUAUCUAAAAUUAAUCAUAACUUUUUUAAAGUUUGCAUCACUCUUACAUUUAUUAUUCUUACUAAAAAAACUGCGUCAAAUUUUUUCUUAAGUGUUAAUAAGUCAUAUAUAACCUAUAAGCUCACCAUCAAUUUUUUUUCUAUAGCAUAUCAGAUUUUGUCUACUAAAAACUUAAAAAGAAAUUUGUCAUCAAAGUUUUCUAACAAAAAAAAAAGAAUAUAUCCUAAGUUUGAUUUAAAACCGAUGAUAAAUUCAUAAUUGGUUUUAGAUUUUCAAUGUUUAACUGUUUAGCUUAAUUAAUAACAGUUAUACAAAAUAGAUUUAUAAAUAAAACAAAAAACUGUUAAACUAUAAAAAUCAAGAUACAAAAAAUGAAUGAGUAGAUGCGUUAAGGGGAAAAUGAAAAUAUGUUAACUACUAAUUAAGAAUGUGUGGAUUUUAUGUAUCAUGAAAACUAUAGAAAAUAAAUUUAUUAAUGAUCUUAACCAGAAACUAAUACACUAAAAACUAUUAAUUGAAAACUAUCUUAGAAUUAUAAACCGUUCAGAAAGAAAAAAAGGACCACUUUAAAAUUAGAUACAUCAAUAAAUAAAUAAGAAAAUCGCAUAAAAAAACUUUGAAAAUGUUAGUUACUAACACUUUAAACUUUGAAAUUUUUUCAUUAAUACUUUUAACUUUCAAAAUGACAUUUAUAUCACAAAAACUUCCAAAGUAAAAAAUUGACCUCUUGAACAAGUAAAAAAAUGAUGUCAGUUUUUUUUAAAAUAAUUAUUUAAUUAAUAAGACUAACAAAAAACUAAAUAAAAACCAGAAAAUUAAAUAAAAAUAGAAAAGUAAUAAACCUUAUAAAAUAAAUAAAAAUUCAGAAAAUAAAUUAAAUAUUAGAAAAUUAAAAAAAAAAAAAUCAUAAAUUUUAAAAUAAAUUUGAAAAUUCAAAAGUUUGAAUAAAAAAGUUUGUUUCCAUUUUCAACAGUGAUGUCGAAAAUAAUUAUUGGAGAUAUGCAAAAAAUAGUCAUUGUUAAUGGUUAUAUGAGAAACUAUCAAUGUCACUAGUGAUAUAUUUGGAAAUUUUAUUUUCACGAUGAUAUGGUAUAUUUUUUUAAAAAAAAUCUUAUAAUUAAAAAACUAUUUUAAUUUUUGAAUUUUCUAAAUUUUAUAAUUUUUUUGAAAUUUAUGAAUUUUUAUUUAGUUAUUCUGUAUUUUAAUUUUAUUUUAUUUAUUAUGGAAUUUUUAGUUAUUUUAUUUUUCUUUAAUUUUAAAUAUUUAUUUAGUUUUCCGAAAUUUUAUUUAUUUUUUUUAGUUUUCGGAAUUUUAUUAAAUUGUUCGAUUUUUAAUUUUUUGAAUUUUUAUUUAAUUUUUUUGUUUAUUUUAUUUAUUAAAUCAUUAUUUUGAAAAAAAAACUUACACAUCAUUUUUUACAUGUUCAACAGGUCAAUUUUUUACUUUAGAGAUUUUUAUGAUAUAAAUGUCAUUUUGAAAAUUAAAAGCAAAGUUUUUAAAUCUGACCCGGACACUGAACCAGACGACUUACCGGAUUGUUGGGUUACUAGGUCGACCACGGGUGAACCGCGGAUUAAUAAAUAAAUAAAAUUUAUUAUAUAAUAAUAUAUUAGGUAUGUAAAUAUAAAUAUAGAAACUAAAUUUUAAUAUUUUCUAAAAAAAAAUUAAAACAUAAAAUAAUAGUUUGGAUAUGUAUAUAUUUUAUGUUUAAAAACUUUUAGAAAAUACUUAAAUUUUCUUUUAUAUUUUUAUUUUCAUUUGACAUACAAAAUAUCAAAAAGUAGUUUAGACUAUUUAAAAAUUUCUCCAACAAAGUAAGAUUUACGACAUUUAAAAAAAUCAAGACAUAAAAUUUAUAAAUAUUUAAAUAUCUAAUUGAAUAAUAAAUUAAACUUCAAAUACAAAAUAAACCAAAAGUAAAAGAUCAUUGUAAUAAAAUGUCAAUACCGAAAAUAAGCUAACACCAAAUCACAUCAACUAAUUUUGGUUCUCUCUACCAUCGUUCACUUCAUUUUCUUCAGGUGGCAUAGUGAAAUUGAAAUCUUCAUCAAAAUCUAAAAAUCACAAAUUUAAAACUGAAAAAGGAAAACCUAACUUUUUUUUUGUGAGCACCUAACUUCUUAAUUGUAAACUUAAAAUAUAAAACAUAUUCUAAAAACUUAAUUUAAAACUUAAAAAAAUGAAGUCAAAUUUUUUAUUAGUUCGACCGGUGGUUCAACCGGUAUCGGGUUCUGAGUUUUACUGGGUUUUUGCAGGUUUUUAUAAAACCCAAACCGGAUUUUUUGGGUCACCGAGUUUACCGGUUCAACCGCAGAUCGGGAUUAGGUUUUAAAACACUGGUUAAAAAUAUUACUGAAAAAACUUUAAAGUUUAAAAUGUGAGUAAAUUACAUUUUUAACGUUUUUUAUGCGAUUUUCUCAUAAAUAAACUCAUAAAAGGAAAAAUGAACGAGGCUCGACACUUGAGAAGACUAUACAAAUGUAAGUGGGACAGAUGGUAUGGUGGGUAGAGCCGACACGCCAUUUCUAAUUAAUUGCAACCCACUUUUGCUUAAUAUCGUAUCAUUUUAUUCAACGCUAAAUCAUUUCAUCGACAUUUUGCUUUCAUAGAAUGUUUAGAAACAAUGGAUUGGAAAGUUUAACCUAAUACAUUGAAUUAAUUUACAUUAAUAAAUAUAUAAUUAUUUAUGAAAAAGUUCGGUACAAGAUUCUUCUUCUCAGUUGUGAACUACGUAGUAUUUUAGCUAGGGAUGGUCACAAACAUUUGUCUCGUCAUAUUUUGUUGUUUUCAACCAAUUUCGAUCCAAAAUUCUUGUUUCAUAUAAAAAUUCAUUUUCAAAAUAUAGCAAGAUGAUAUGUAUUACAUAUUUAUUUGAGAAAAAAACUUUGAGAAUAUCAUCUUGCUAUAUUUUGAACUGGGUAAGUAUUUUUAUAACAAAAAUAUCAAAGAUAAUUCAUUCUAAAUAUCGGUUACAAUUAAAAAUGCCGUUGCAAGUAAUAAUUUGUUUGUUGCAAAAAAAGUAAUAAUUUGUUAAUUAUUUAAGUUGUAGCUGGUUGUAUAUGUCCUCAAUUUUUUUUGACCGAAUUGUUUUUUUUAUAUUCAUUCACACCAACCACACCAACCAUUCUCACCUACUCCUUUGAAUUGAAAUGGAUAUAGGACCACCAGUCUCUGACGUACAUGUAUUAUGUUCGCUUAUUAUUAGAUAUGUUUUCUCAAAUUGGUAAUUUCAUUCAUUUAAUUAGAAAAUCGUGUUAUAUAUAAACGGGUUAAAUAGUAGAAUUUUUUUUAAUUAAACAUUUAAAUAUGAUAUAUGUCUAUUGAAAUUGAUAGUGUUUUUCUAAUCAGUUGUUAGCUUUGUUUUCCAAAGAACACUUUGUUUUAUAUUAAAAAGGUCAAAAGUAUAGCAUAUUUUUAUAUAAAACCCAUCGUACUAUUAAAAUCCUCCAAAGGAUAUGAACAGCUUCACACUGAGAUAAUUUAGGUUAAAUCUGUGUGAGAAACCAGUUCUAAAUUAUGAUUGGAUCAUAAAUAAUGUUUGAUAUCGGUUUAAUGAAAUUAAUAUACUUUUUAUUAUUAUUUUAAUUAAUUAAUGUGAAAUUAUAAAUUUGUAUCAAUUAUCUCAAUUUUUUAGAAAUUAUAAAUUUGUAUCAAUUAUCUCAAUUCAGAAAUUAUAAAACAUUUAGUCAAAAUGAGUCUAUAAUAGCAAUUUGGAAAGAAACAAAAAUCAGAUAUCUUAAUUUUAAAGUUCUAUUUAAAAUAAAAAGAAGAAUCCAAAGUCCUACCUACUACCGUGUUAGUGAUACGUCAUGAUCAAAGAACGUUCAUUUGUAUCAAUUAAAGGAUAAUAAAACAGUGUUAUCGAUGUAAUCUUUUACCUUUUUGGCACCUAAAUGAAUUGUAAGUAAAAUAAAUGGAAACACGAAAUGAGGUGUUCAUCCUCUUUUCUUUUUUUUUGAGUUGUAGAUCCUUUUGGUUGGUUGUUCGACAUGAAACUUAUACAACUAAUGACUCAGAACUUUUGGUAUCCCGUAUCCGUGAAUAGAAAUAAGUGUACGAGCAAACGUAUUUAUAUAUACUUGUAUGGGUUCUUUUGGUAAUGAUCAAUGUUAAGAACUUGUAUGAUUUUUAUUUUCUCUAAGCUCGUUUUAAUUUCUUCGUUGAUUUUGACAUUUUUGAACGAACUUAAACUUACGAAAAAUAUUGUUUGAAUAAUAAAAGAAAUUCUCAGGUUUAUAGAAAUUAAUACCAAAACGGUCGACUAUGGUUAAAAACAGAUUAGUGUAUGAGCUUAGAAAGCUAAAUGUAGCUAAACAUUUGACCGCUUAUUUUUCUAGUUUUUCUUCGCAACAAUCAUAAAUAAAUCGGUGAGAUAUACAUAAACGAUAAACUAGCCACAAAAUUUAGAUAUAAAAAAGUGUUUAACAAAAGAUGGUUAAGUUGCAUUUAGACAAAAUUUCGUAUUGUGCAGUUUGUGUAUUAAAAUAUAUAGUAUUAAAAAUUUAGGGUAUCAAAAUUUAUUUGAAAAGAAAUUCAAUUUCUUUCAUAAACUAGCCUUUAGACCACUGUAUCAGUCUUACGGUCAGUGUUAAUUUGAGAUUUGGAAGGAAUGAAAUUUGAUAAAAAUAUCCAUAAUUCCAACAGAUAAUCUAUCAUAAAAUCAUAGCAUAUACCACAAGUGAAAUUCUAUAGCUGAAGCCCUAAGCCAUAUAUUCAGUUUGAUUAGCUGAAACCUUAGUCUGUGUCAUUCUCAGAAUGAAGCGCGGUUUUGUAAUUGGUUCAAAGGUUAGUUUACAUUUCUUUGUACGUUAAUAUGGUUCUUCGUAAAGUUGUUUCAGCGUAAUUAUUUGCAAAAUUUCCUUAUCAUAUCAUUAUCAACCAGCCAAGUUUCAGUCAUUAACAUGCCUCUGAGAGGAGGUUAUUUGAAGGUAUUUUUGGAAAAUUUCCAUAUUAUCAUAACAACCAACCAAAUUCCAAUCGGUUGAGUGAACCAAACUGAUUCAGAUAUCUUUUAUAUUUGUAGUUUUGGGAAAAUAACUGGGCCUAAUUAUUAUGGGCCAAGGGCUAACGUGACUAAAGCAAGAAGUUAGAAAGUCGGAAACAACUGUUGUAGAGGAAGAGAAACGUUUGGACUCUCACUCUUUUUCCUUUUCGAUCUAUGCAAGUUGAGAGAGAAAAUGGAGACGAAUAAAGAAGAAAUGGCUCCUCUCAGAGGCAUACUAUGUCUGAAAAACAGUCAAGACAUGAAGAAAAUCGAGGAGACAGAGGACUGCUUCAUUCUAGAUUGUGACACUUUGGAUCCUUUCGACUUUAAAAUAGAGAUCAAGAAAGAAGUAACUCCCCUCAGAAACAUAUUAUGUCUGAAAAACAGACAAGACAUGAAGAGAAUCGAGGAGACAGAAGACUGCUUCAUUCUUGAUUUCGACCCUUUUGAUUCUUUCGACUUUAAAAAACUCUCAGUCUCCAGUGAUGGUGAUAAAGAUCUGGAUAUUAUCCAUGAGACAGGCCAGGUCUUAGUUUUGAAGUUUAGGGAUUACUUCUAGGUUUAUCUCUAUUUUUGCUCUAACUUUAUUUUUUGAAAAUGUGAUGGAAUCUCAGGUGGCUUGUAGGGAUUACCCACAUCCAAGACACCUUUGCUUGACUUUUCCCUUUGGAUCAACUCCUAAUGCAACCCAUUGUCGUCUGGUAAUUACUUGUCUCUUUCUUUUUAAAAGGAUUUAAGGAAAAAAUAAGUAUGAAAUGGCUUAACUUGGUGUUCAAGUAUCUAUGAAACUGUCUUUUCCUCCUUUUGAUAUGGCAAGUAUUUUAACUAUAGAGAUUAACAUGAAUGAAUAUAUGCAGUGUUACUGUUGCGUCUGCGAUAAGCCUGCACCUUGUGCACAAUGGAUGUCGCAUUGCAAUACUUCAGAGGACUCUAUGGUGCGGAAGCUACCGACCCCUGAGAGCCAGAGCUUCUAUUACUCCGAUUAAUAUCAUCUUUUUGUUGACAGUUUCUCCCUUGCGUUUUCACAUCUUUGAAUGAGUAGUAGAUCAACAUAGCCUUGGAAGACUAUGGAUUAACAAUGCAUAACUAUUUAGUAUGAUAUUUUUAUGGGUGAUUUGCUAGGCUAUAUUGUUUCUUGCUGAGGAUUCGGUUACAAACCUCGGUAAAACGGGUCAUAUGUGCCUAAAGUUCAUAAAAUUGAAAGCACAAAGCAAAUUUAUAUGCCUAAAGCUUUGUGCCACAUAAAAUAGAGGAUUGUUGAUUUGUUUCAAUAUUUCUGUAGUUACAUAAUUUUGUUCCAAAUAAACACAAACCAUAUUCAUAUAACCACAAAAAAAAAUCAGAAAUUCAGAACCAAACCAAGCAUUUCCGAGAAUAUAUAUAACUUCCAUGUUCAAAUACCAAAGUCCCUAGAUUGAGUAGAUGAGGCAUGCCGCAUGCAUGUUACUAACUUACUAUGUUAGCAGUGUAAGGUGUGAUCAAUGAUCAUGAUGAUUGUAUGUGGACAUGAGCAUUAUAUAUGUGUAUGAGAUUCGAUCAUGUUGCAUUUUUCAAUACUCAACUGCCCAUGUUGCUUAUCCGGAAGGGUUCAGUUUCUAAUCUAUCGUCAACAAAUCUGUUUAUGUAAUUUGUACGUCUAGUUCUAUCAAUUCGUUCUUUUAAAAUCCUAUCUUGUAAUUUUAUGCACUUUAUAUUUUAGUUCAUAUUGAAAUAUUAGUGUAAAGCUCUUAUUUCUAAUUUUUCCAAUAAAGGAUAUACAUGUGACAUUCUUAUCUUAAAACCAUGUCAUAACUCAUAAUCUUAUAAUUAGAAUCAGAUAAACGUACAAGAAGGUUCAUAAUGAACCAUCCGCGUUGACCAAAAAAAAAAACCCAUCCGUAGGCAGGUCAUUAGCUUUAAUUUUGCUUUGGGGUCAAGCAAAUAAUCCAAACAAUUUGUUUUUUCUUUUUUGCCUCUUCUCCAAGUUCUUUCUUUUCCAUGGGUAUAUAUAUAUAUGUAUGUAUAGCCUGUCGAAGAAAAUGAAAAAGAGAUUUCAAAAUCAAAUAAAAAGAUUUAAGAGAGUUUUAGUUUGUUGAGCUUCUUCCCCUUCCCAGAGUUAGUUACACAAAAAGAUGAUGAUCCGUUCAAGAACCGCAGCUACCACCGCCGCUAGAUCCUUGGGCUACCUCCGUCACUCUUCGGCUCUCGUUCACUCUCCCCUCCUCUCCGGCGCCACCGCCACCACUCCCUCCGUCCGCCACUUCACCUCUCCCGUCAACAGGUAAAAUCUAAAGCUCAGGGUUUCGUAAUCUCUCUGCGGAAUGUGAAUGGAUUAGUCUAGCUUAGAGCUCGAUUUGGUUGGUGAUAUGUUAGUUAAUCGUCUUCUUCUUUGUUAUAUAUAGCUACCAAAUCAAGCCGCCGGUGAACUGGGGAAUCCGAAUCGUCCCGGAGAAGAGAGCCUGCGUGAUUGAGCGGUUCGGCAAAUACGUCAAGACGUUGGAGUCCGGGAUCCACUUCCUCGUCCCCGGCGUGGAUCGAAUCGCCUACGUGCAUUCGCUCAAGGAGGAAGCGAUUCCGAUUGGGAACCAGACUGCGAUUACGAAGGAUAACGUCAGCAUCCACAUCGAUGGCGUUCUUUACGUCAAGGUUUGUUAUCGUUAUCUUUACUUCUUUGAAUUACUUUUUAGAUCUAUGCUGAGUUUUUUUUUUUUUUUUUUUUUGCAGAUUGUGAAUCCGCAUCUGGCGUCUUACGGCGUUGAGAAUCCGAUCUACGCUGUUAUGCAGUUGGCUCAGACCACUAUGCGUAGUGAACUUGGGAAGAUUACUCUUGACAAGACUUUUGAGGAACGAGAUGCGUUGAAUGUCAAGAUUGUGGUUCGUUUUCUUUGCUUUUGGUCAUGUUUAGUGCUUAAAGAUUGCAGUUUGUUUAGCUUUUUUGAUUGUUUAGUCAUUGCUGGAUCUGAGUUUAGUUGAUAAGUGUUUGUAUAAUGCAGCUGGAGAAUGCAUUCGUAGUUUAAUGUACUGAAUAUUACAAGCAUGUGAUGAUUCUGUGACGCUGAAUGAAAAGAAUGUAGUGCAUUUUCUUUUGCCUUAACUUGAGCUUAGUUUCGAAUUGAACAGUUUGCAGUUUGCUUAGCUUUUUGGUUCUUUUAACUGUUUUCUGAGUCUGAGUUUAGUUUUUGUUAGAUAAGAGUAUGUAAAAUGCAGCUGUUUAAUGUAUUGAAUAUUAUUACAAGCAUGUGAUUGUUUUGAGAUGGAAUGAUUCUUGCAGGAAGCAAUCAAUGUUGCUGCUAAAGAUUGGGGUCUUGAGUGCCUUCGUUAUGAGAUAAGUGAGUACUUUUUUCUCUGUUUUGACUCUUUUGGUGGAUUCUCUUGUUUGGCUAUUUCUAAGUACAUGUGUUGUUGUAUUCCAGGGGAUAUCAUGCCUCCUAAUGGAGUGAGGGUUGCUAUGGAGAUGCAAGCUGAAGCUGAACGUAAAAAGAGAGCCCAGAUUCUCGAGUCUGAAGGUAAACUAGCAGACUUGUGUUCUGUGAUUGAACAGUGUGCUUUUGCUACAGCUCAAGAAUACAGAAUUAAAGCCUGUUUAGCUUGUUUCUGAUGAUCUGUUUUACUGACUUGAACAGGAGAACGCCAAGCCCAUAUCAACAUAGCUGAUGGUAAGAAGAGUUCUGUAAUCUUGGAAUCAGAAGCUGCAAAGAUGGACCAAGUCAAUCGAGCAUCAGGUUUGUAUUAAUUAUAUUUAGUAAGCAUGAACGUAAGCCAUUCUUUCUUCAGUUUUGUUUCAUCACAACAUUUCUUCUUUGUUGUAUUGAUUUUCAGGCGAGGCAGAAGCAAUAUUAGCUAGAGCACAAGCAACAGCGAGGGGGCUGACCAUGUUAUCUCAAUCCCUCAAGGAAACUGGUGGAGUGGAGGUUUGUAUAAUAUGAGAUUAAACUGAUGUUAGUCGUAUGCUGCUACUUAUAACUUGAUCCUUCAGACGAGUUUGGUUUCACACAUUGAGGCAUCUAACCUUUGUUUCCCAUAAAUGAUUCUCUCUGACAGAUUCUAACUAGAGGUUUCUGUGGCUUAUAGGACUUAUAAGAAACUUGUUUAGCUUUCCAAAAUAAAGACUCAUUUUUGAUCGUGUUGUAAUAUGCAGGCUGCGAGUUUGAGAGUUGCGGAGCAAUACAUUCAAGCUUUUGGGAACAUAGCCAAGGAGGUAAACAACUAUGAAACACAACUUUACCAUACCAUAUAGUUAUCUCAUCCUAUCUACUUGACAAUCUCUUCCUCCCUUUGGGUAUCAAUCAAAAAGGGCUAAUAAAUUGUGUUUCAUGGUUAGGGUACAACGAUGCUGCUUCCGAGUUCAGCUGCAAAUCCUGCAAACAUGAUCGCUCAAGCCUUGACAAUGUACAAAAGCCUCGUCCCCAAUGGUGGUAUCCAGGAAACUUCAGCUGUGGAAUCCUCGUCUAAAGCGAAAUAGAAGUGGUGGUGGUGGUAGAAGAGCUAGGAACAAUGAUAAUUCUUUUGAUCUGUGUAACAGCUUUUCAGUUUGAUAUAUGAGAAACAGUUUAUCUUUCUAAGUUUGCAAACAGAAAAACAAAUCUAAGCUCUAAUUUCUGAAAGGAGAUUUUUUGCACCAAGUUUGGUCUUGAAAUGUUUAGUGUCUGUUCUUUUGCAUCUUCAUUUCUUGUUUGGUUGCUAUUGUGGAGUGUCAAGUAGAUUUUGUGACAAGGAUAAGAAACUGUUGCUAGAGGAAGAACGGUGUAGGUCGUUGACAGACAAGAGCCUCGAAGAAUCUAAUGGUGACAUGAACAUUUUUUAGUCUUUUUCUUGAAAUAGCAUGUCUUGGCUGUCUGUACAACCACUGUAUAUAUCCUCUUUGUUGUCUUCUACUAUAUAUUUGCUCAGCUUCUAAUAAGGAAAAUUAAAAAAAAGGAUCAGAAAGGGAGUUUCAUUGUUUGCUUCACAGUUCUUCCCAUCGUACUUUGUUUAUUUUUUUUUCACCAACAUUACCAUGGGAGCCUGUGCGAGCACGCCUAAGGAGUCUGAUAUUCUUGAAACCCCUGCCACCACUGAAAACGCUGUGGUCGAGUCCAUGAACGUCCAAACCGAAGCUGUAUCUCAGGUUUUUGUGGAUCAAAUAUCAUUUUGGUUUCUGAGCAAAAUAGUUAAUGCUUUUGGAUGAAAGAUGUGUAAUUACUUUUGUUCUUCCUUGGCGAGUUACAGGAGAAGGCAGAUGAAGUUGUUGCAGAGAAGAAGGAAGAGUCUAAUGUAGAUGAAGCAGAGAUACAGAAGGAAGCUGAACCAGCCAAGCCUGCAGAGGUUGAACCAGCUCCAGAGGCUGUGAAGACCGAAGAAACUCAAGAAGCUGCUGUUGAUGAGAAAGCUUCUUCUGGUGAGACUGAGCCACCAAAACAAGAGGAGGCUACAACCGCCAGUGACACCAAAACUAACGAAGAGCCUCUUGUAACCCUUUAAACUCAUUUCUCAACUCUGUAAUAUGUACGUUUCAUUGUCGUAUUUCUAGUGCUGCCAAUGUAUAACCUAUCACAAUAAACGAAUUUCUAUAAUUUUCCAGCGUGGUAAGUAUUUAUUUGUUGGGCUUAGGUAUAAAUGGGCUUUAAAAUCAACUAAUGGUUUUUUGUUUAAGUAAAGGUAAAGCUAAGUUUUUGUCCCACUUCGGAACAAGUAGUGGAGUUGAUAGGUAUUGCUUAGAUAUAAAUAAAGAGGCUCUCUCUCACUAUCAAACCAUCUUUGCGCUUGGGGCAAUGACGCAGCUAAUGAGGUACUAACCGAGGCGCGUCUAUUGCUGGUUGAAAACUAUUUCCAAACCCCCUCCUGGGCCUGAGCUUGUCUUGGGCCUUCGAGAAUUUCUGGAAGGGCUCCCUUCGGGGUAAAGCUCUACAAUUCUUUAGUUUAAUUAUUUGUUUGUAGCUUUAUGAUUAUAGACUAAAAACGUUUUCUAUUAUCAUUCUAAACCACUACAUUUAUAGAAAAACAGAGGAAGACUUUUAAGUAUUAGCAAAAUUUACAGGGUUUAGAAUGAAAUGGGCUUUAAUGAUUCAUAAAACCUAGAUCUCGAUGUUUCAAAUUCAUACUAAUAUCAAGUGCUUGUUCUCCCACAUCGAUUACAAAACUCAAGAACAUUAAAGAAUCUGAACUUUAAAUUAGACGCAGAGCAGCGUGAUAAAGACUCACGGAGCCGUGCAGUGGGGGCAAAGCGAACUAUUCUUUCGCCUUUUACUAAAGAAUACCGUGUUCUCUCUGUAUUUAGCGGCAUACGCCUAUUUUUGGAAAAGGGUUUAGAAAUAAACCUCCAUCAGUUCUUUAGUUUAAAAUUAUAAUAUUUUUGAGGUAUAUAGGUGUCAAAAUAUUACUCACAAUAUUUGAUAAGUGUUUGUCACUAUGGUUCUUUUCUCCCACAGUUACCACUAACUAAAGAUGAGAAGUAUCUCUGUUUGGUUCAAUGUAGUAGUCUUUAAUGAGUGAUUUCAGAUCGUUUUGGUGCCGCAGCACGGUGAACAUAUGUUGAAACGCGAGGCUUAUGACGGAAGAUGCAGGUUGAGACUUGAGAGGAAAGAUAAUUGAUGGUUUACGCGGCGGACCUUGGAAGAUCUUGUUAAGAGUGUGAUGAAUGAAAGUAGUGAGGUUGGAAGAAUCAUGAUAAAUGGAGAUGUGUUUUGACUUUUGAGCGACUAAGGUUUUGCUGAUGGUUAUAUCUGCAAAUUUAAACAUAACUUAAUUGAUCUUGUGAAGACAUGAAUUAUCAUUUCUAGUCUUUCCAUUUAGUUCGGUUUAAUUGGUCAUGUUUGGCUUUGUUUGAGUCUCGGAGAGAUAGAUUUGUAGUAGGGCAUGUUGCAUUGCAUGCUCUUCGUAUGUCCCGUAAGAUUAGCUAUUUAAUAAUUUUAUUUUAUUUUGGAACGAAAUUAGCUUAUAACUUUUUUAAAGCUUAUAAACAAAAAGGAAAUCACGGAAUUUAAUGAAUGCCCAGUUGUAGAUUUGGCAUAAUCGUAACAACUUUGCAUGUCAUCUUUGCAAUCCAUAAGAUUAUGUAUCUGGAACUCUGGAAGCAUAAAAAUAAUAUCGUAGUUUUGAUUAUGCAGUUAAUUAGCAUAUAAUAUAAUUAUGCUAUAGAUUAUUAGGGGAUAAUUUCCGGAAACUAAAAUAGCAAAAGGAAAUCACAGAUUGUAAAAAAAUUAAAUAAACGAAACUAAAGACUUGGCUUAUUCGUGGAGGCUUGAAUCAUUCAACUCAUAAUAGCACUUUCCUAAACUUCAGGUCAUCUGCAACUGAAAUUUUAUAAACAAAACAUAAGAACAAGAAUAAAAAAAAACGAAGGGACAGAAACAGAAAUGGGAUCAAAGUUUCAUGCUUUUAUGUUUCCAUGGUUCGGUUUUGGCCACAUGACUGCAUUUCUACAUCUGGCUAACAAGCUAGCUGAAAAAGGGCACAAAAUCACUUUCUUGCUACCCAAGAAAGGUCUGAAGCAACUUGAACCUCUCAAUCUGUUCCCAAAAUCCAUUGUCUUUCACAUUCUUACCAUCCCUUCCGUCGAUGGUCUCCCUGAUGGUGCCGAAACAACCUCGGAUAUCCCCAUCACGUUAGGUAGUUUUCUGGCCUCAGCUAUGGAUCGCACACGUGGCCAGGUCGAAGAAGCGGUUCGAUUAGGUAAACCGGAUCUAAUUUUCUUUGAUUUUGCUCACUGGAUUCCGGACAUAGCUAGAGAAUAUGGGGCCAAGAGUGUGAAUUUUGUAACGAUCUCUGCAGCAUGUGUAGCUAUCUCAUUUGUCCCUGGUCGUAGUCCAGAUGAAUUAGCUAUACCUCCUCCGGGGUAUCCUUCCUCCAAGGUGUUGCUUCACGGACAAGAAACCAGUUCCUUGUCAUUUCUGUCCUAUCCCUUUGGUGAUGGAGUGACGUUUUACGAACGGAUCAUGACAGGGCUUGUGAACUGUGAUGUCAUAUCGAUAAGGACUUGCCAGGAAAUGGAAGGAAAAUUCUGCGAUUUUAUCGAAAGGGAAUUUCAAAGAAAAGUUCUCUUGACGGGUCCAAUGCUUCCUGAGCCGGACAAUAUCAAACCACUCGAAGAUCGAUGGAGUCACUGGCUGAACCGGUUCGAACCAGGAUCAGUAGUAUAUUGUUCACUUGGCAGCCAAAUCAUUCUUGAGAAGGAACAAUUUCAAGAACUAUGUUUAGGAAUGGAGCUGACUGGUUUACCAUUUCUUGUGGCGGUAAAGCCACCAAAAGGCGCAUCUACGAUUCAGGAAGCCUUACCAAAAGGGUUUGAAGAGCGGGUUAAGGAGCGUGGAGUGGUUUGGGGAGAAUGGGUGCAGCAGCCACUGAUAUUGGCUCAUCCAUCAAUAGGUUGCUUUGUGAGCCAUUGCGGGUUCGGGUCAAUGUGGGAGUCUCUGUUGAAUGACUGCCAAAUAGUGUUUAUUCCACAUUUGGGUGAACAAAUAUUCAACACCAGGCUAAUGAGCGAGGAACUUGAGGUCUCGGUGGAGGUGAAAAGAGAGGAAACAGGAUGGUUUUCAAAGGAGAGCUUAAGCGGUGCGGUUAGGUCAGUAAUGGACAAAGACACCGAGCUAGGGAACCUAGUAAGGAGGAAGCAUGCUAAAUGGAAGGAGUCUCUACUUAGUUCUGGAAUAAUCAGUGGUUAUGUCAAUAAGUAUGUAGAAGCACUGGAGAAACUAGUCUAAAAGAGACGAAACAUGAAAUAAAUUGCAUGUGUUUCAAAAAAAAAAAAAAAAUGAAAUAAAUUGCAUUGGUCUUAGUAACGUUGCUAUCAUUAACUAUACCACAUAACAUAAAAUGAAUUUUCUAUCUUGUAAGAUAAACUUCUAUAUAACAAUCAAAUCACUCCUUGUAGUGAUUUCCUGAAAGAGUUGCCAAAUAAUAAAUUCAAAGAAUUUAAAGAAAUAUUGGGACAUUGGUAUGAAAAUGAAGUUUUAGCUUGUGAGUUUCAAUAUCUUAGUCUGUUUUCUUUUCAUUCGUGUAUCCUACUUGUGUUUUCUUUAUUCACUAGUUACUUAUUAGACGUUAUUAGUCAAGUAGUGAAUACAUUGAAAAAUAAAAAAAUGGUUUCAUUUGAAUUAUUGUUGUUAGAUAACGAUAUAAGUAUAAUAUUUCAUCAAUCUUCAAAAAAAAAAAAGUAUAAUAUUUCAUCUUUCUUUAUUGAUUUUCAUUAGUUAUACGAUUUGGUGUUAAUCCGGGAACAAGGAUUUCAACAUCUACUGAUGAACAUUUUAUUGGUAACUUCCGAUCUAAAUUAUUUCAAAAAAAUUAUUUUGUUCUCAGUAAAUCAUUAAUUCAAAAUCAAUAUCAUAUAAUAAAAACGAAUCUUAUAUCUUGUAAGAUAAACUCUUAUAAAACAAUCAAAUAAUUCAUUGUAAUGAUUUCAUAAAAGAUUUGGCAAAUAAAUUACUUUAAAUAAUUUUAAGAAAUAUUGGGACAUCAAUAUGAAAAGAAAGUCUUAGUGGUUAGUUUCUAUAUCGUAGUGUGUUAUCAUGUUAUUGAUGUGUCCUACUUUUGUUUCCUUCGUUCAUUAGUACUUUAUGAGUUUAUUCUAAUAUAUAUAAAGUAAACAUUCAAUAAAACUUAUGUUGUGUCACUUAUAGUUAAUUCUAGAUUAAUUGAAGAUCUUUCUUUUGACAUGAGAUCUUCUAGAAUCUCACAUUCAAAAAUUGUAAUAAAUAUUAUUGUUUUGUCUAAAUUUUAGGCUUCUUUAUUAUUAUUUUUUUUAAUUUUAUUUAUUUCUGUAAAUUGAAUUUUCGGAUAAAAAUAUAAAUUUUACCGGAUAUAUAAAUACCGAAUAUUUAGAUUAAACAAUCAUGGAUUAUAAAAAUGAUGAUUUGGACAGAAAACAAAAGAAGAUCAUGAAUUGCACUCAAAAUAGAAAGAUCAUGAAUAACUUCAAAAUACUAUAUAUAUAUAUAUAUAUAUAAUAAGAUCCCCCGGCGUAUUAUUAACAUGUAUUACACGUGAUUGUAUCUGAUGUGAUCGUUUUAUUGAUAUUAGAUUUUGAUCCGUGUUUUUUUAAAUGCUAAUAGAUAUUUUAUACUGUGAAAUUUAAUAAAAAUAUAUCAAAUAUUUUAUUAGAAAAGUUAAAAAAUAUAUAUAUAUAUAUAUAUAUAUCCUAUAUAAUAUGUCAACCCUAUAUGACGUGGGUCCAUUCAACGUUUGUUUUGUUGAUAGCAUCACAAUUGAACAAACCGCUAAUCUUACCUAACACAUAAGCAUGGCAAUUUUAUUACAAAAUAAACUAUACAUCCUAUCUAUGUCAACACUAAAUGACGUGGGUCCAUUGUACCACUAAUCUUACCCAACACAUGAGCCUGGCAAUUUUAUUUCAAAAACACUAUAUAUAUAUCCUAUCUUUGUCUACCCUAAAUGAUGUGGUCCAUUCAUUCACCUUGUGUUUUGUCGAUAAUAUCAUAAUUGAGCAACAGACGACCGCUCAUCUUACCUAACCACAAGAAAAACAAAGAAGCAAUGAUUCUACAAAAAGUAAAAACAAAACAAAUAUGAAAAUUUGUCUCUCUCGUGGCUGUUUAUUAUGCCGGCUCUCUUGUGGCUAUAUUUAAGAUAAGGUGUACGAUUUGGGAGAGAAGAAAGAGAUAGAAAAGAAAAAGAAAAAAAAAAAACAGAAAUGGGAUCAAAGUUUCAUGCUUUUAUGUUCCCAUGGUUUGGUUUUGGUCACAUGACUGCAUUUCUGCAUCUGGCUAACAAACUAGCGGAGAAAGGUCACAAAAUCACUUUCUUGCUCCCCAAGAAAGCUCUGAAGCAACUAGAACCUCUCAGUCUGUUCCCAGGAUGCAUUGUCUUUCACACUCUUACCAUCCCUUCUGUGGAUGGUCUCCCUGAUGGCGCCGAAACAACCGCGGAUAUACCAAUCACCUUAGGGGGCUUUCUGGCCUCAGCUAUGGAUCGCACACGCGGUCAGGUCGAAGAAGCGGUUCGAUUAGGUAAACCGGAUCUGAUUUUCUUCGAUUUUGCUCACUGGAUUCCUGAAGUAGCUAAAGAGUAUGGAGCCAAGUGUGUGAAUUUCCUAACGAUUUCCGCAGCAUGUGUAGCUAUCUCAUUUGUCCCUGGUCGUAGUCCAGAUGAGUUAACUGUUCCUCCUCCGGGGUACCCUUCGUCCAAGGUGGUGCUUCGCGGACAAGAAACCAACUUCUUGUCGUUUUUAUCCUAUCCCUUUGGUGAUGGAGUAACGUUUUACGAACGGAUCAUGACAGGGCUUGUUAAAUGCGAUGUCAUAUCGAUAAGGACUUGCCAGGAAAUCGAAGGAAUAUUCUGCGAUUUUAUCGAAAGGGAAUUUCAAAGAAAAGUUCUCUUGACGGGUCCAAUGCUUCCUGAGCCGGACAAUAUCAAACCACUAGAAGAUCGAUGGCAUCAAUGGCUGAACCGGUUUGAACCAGGAUCAGUAGUAUACUGUUCGCUUGGCAGCCAAAUCAUUCUUGAGAAGGAAGAAUUUCAAGAACUCUGUUUAGGAAUGGAGCUGACCGGUUUACCAUUUCUUGUAGCGGUAAAGCCACCAAAAGGCGCAUCUACCAUCCAGGAAGCCUUACCAGAAGGGUUCGAAGAUCGGGUUAAGGAGCGUGGAGUGGUUUGGGGAGAAUGGGUGCAGCAGCCACUGAUAUUGGCUCAUCCAUCGAUAGGUUGCUUUGUGAGCCAUUGUGGAUUUGGGUCAAUGUGGGAGUCUCUAUUGAAUGACUGCCAAAUAGUGUUUAUUCCACAUUUGGGUGAACAAAUAUUCAACACCAGGCUAAUGAGCGAGGAACUUGAGGUCUCGGUGGAGGUGAAAAGAGAGGAAACAGGAUGGUUUUCAAAGGAGAACAUAAGCGGGGCGGUUAGGUCAGUGAUGGACAAGGACACCGAGCUAGGGAACCUAGUAAGGAGGAACCACGCCAAAUUGAAGGAGUCUCUACUUAGCUCUGGAAUAAUCAGUGGUUAUGCCAAUAAGUACGUAGAAGCACUUGAGAAACUAGUCUAAAAGAGACAAAACAUGAAAUAAAUUGCUUUGCAAGGAAACUUUGUUGGUCUUAAAUAAUGACGUCAUAUGAAUAAAGGAUGUCAUAUCGCUCGACUUAUUUGCUUAUUUUGUUAAUCACUUAUGAAUAAACGAUGUCAUAUCGUUGGUCUUGUAUGAAUUUUACAUGAGGAUUCCAUGCUUCUUCAAUAAAUUUCGAUCUCUUGUGUCAUGUGACUUCUGUGUUAGCUUUGUGCGUUACUAUCUUAUGUUUAUUUUUUUAUAUAACUUAAGUGGACCACACAAAAAGAUGAUCAAUAUUCGAAAACAAAUCAAAACAAAAUAAAAGAACGUUUCUUAACCUAAAAGGAUAAAAAAAAAAGAACAAAAUUUGGGUUCACCCCCUAUCGUGAAUUGUGAAAUUCACCCCAUUCUUUUCUACUAAUCAAAUUGUCAUGUAGGAUUAAUGAAAAAAUGAUAUUAAAAUUAGAAAAAAAACAAGGAAAAUAGCUUGAAAAUAAAAAAGGAGCUAACAUUGUUACGCCUUCCAUCGACUUCUUCUCUUCAUCGCUCACAGAGAAGAUAUAGGAAUACAAGGGUUUGUCAAAUUUGAGUCUCCAAUUCUAUGCUUUCAAAUCCAAUUUCGAUUUGACCAUUUCCAAGCCAAAUCAAACCAUGUUCAUCCAUGGAUUUUCUUCUUCUUCAUGCUAUUUGUACAUCAUCGCCGGCUUCAACCAAAAUCCAUUUUAUACUUCUGGAAAGAGUAUCAAUCAAACAACAAGGAAGCAUAAAAUGGAGAGUUAAAAGAUAAGUUUUUUUUAUUGGAAUUGAACUUUUGAUAAAUCUACAAAGGAAGUGGAUCAAAUAGAAGUUUCCAAGAAGAAGAACAAAGAAGAGUAGCAGAGAACAAGCUACAAAGAAGGACGAAGAAGAAGAGACUUGAGGCGCAAGAAACGACCUAGCCAUGGUUUCGAAGUUUAUGAAUUCGAAGUUUCAUUCUUUUAUGUACCCAUGGUUUCCUUUUGGUCACAUGACUCCAUAUCUACAUCUACCUAACAAACUUGCCGAGAAAGGUAACAGAAUCACCUUCUUGCUGCCCAAGAAAGCUCAGAAACUACUUGAGCAUCUCAGUCUCUUCCCACAACACAUCGUCUUUCACCCUCUUACUAUCCCUCAUGUCGAUGGCCUCCCUCCUGGCGCUCAAACAGCUUCCGAUAUCACCGUCUCCUUGGGGAAGUUCCUGACCCAAGCCAUGGACCUCACACGUGAUCAGGUUUUCUUCGAUUUCGCUUGUUGGGUCCCCGAGAUGGCCAAAGCAUAAAAAGUGAAGAGUGUGUCUCAUCAUGUGGUAUCUGCGUCUUCAAUGGCUUAUUCACUUGUCCCAGAUGCUGAACCAGGAGUUCCCCCACCGGGUUAUCCUUCAUCCAAGGUCACUUUCGUAAGCACGACGCCCCUAUUCCUUGUCGCCAACGGCCUCAGGUGCCCUUAAGAGGAUUAUUAAUCGGAUUAUCACAGGCCUUAAGAACUGCGACGUCAUCUCGUUUAGGACUUGCCAAGAUAUCGAAGGUAAGUUCUGCGACUUCAUCGAGCUUCAAUACCAGAAGAAGGUUCUCUUAACCGGUCCAAUGCUCCCUGAGUUAGGCAAGACUAUAGCACUAGAAAAUCAAUGGAAUCACUGGUUGAGAGGUUUUGAACCAGGGUCUGUUGUGUUUUUGUGCACUAGGCAGCCAAAUCAAUAUAGAGACGGAUCAAUUCCAAGAACUUUGCCUUGGAAUGGAACUAACAGGCUUACCGUUUCUUGUAGCGGUAAAGCCACCAAAAGAGGCAAAGAAGAUUCAAGAAGCUUUACCAGAAGGGUUUGAGGAGCGGUCGAAGGGUCGUGGAGUGGUCUGGGGAGGAUGAGUGCAACAACCAUUGUUAUUGGCUCAUCCAUCAAAUAGGCUUGCUUCCAUAUUUGGCUGAUCAAGUUCUCAACAUGAGAUUGUUGACCGUGGAACUAGAGGUUGCGGAUUUGCGGUUGAAGUGCAACGAGAAGAACCAGGAUGGUUCUCUAAAGAUAUAACCUGAGAGAUGCAAUCAUAUCCGUGAUGGUGAACUUGGAAAUUACGUCAGAAGGAACCACACGAAGUGGAAGCACUACAAGAAAACAUCGGGAUACUGAGGGAAAAAAUCGUCGGUAUGUCGUCGGAAUAACGUUAUUCCGAGGACAUACCGACGAAAAAAGUCCUCGGAAAUAACUCCUCGGAAAUUCAUAAUUCCUCGGAAUUCCGUCGGAAUUUUCCGACGGAAUUCCGAGGAAACAAAAUUCCGAGGAAACUCCGAGGACACAAUGUUCGUCGGAAGGUUCCUCGGAAAAUACCGAAGGAAUUCCGAUGGUCCAAUCCUCGGAAGUUUCGACGAAAUAUUUCUCGGAAUAUUUAUCGGAAAAUUCCGAGGGAAGAAAGUUCCUCGGAAAAUUCCGAGGAACAUUUGUUCCUCGGAAAAUUCCGAGGAACAUUUGUUCCUCGGAAANNNNNNNNNNNNNNNNNNNNNNNNNNNNNNNNNNNNNNNNNNNNNNNNNNNNNNNNNNNNNNNNNNNNNNNNNNNNNNNNNNNNNNNNNNNNNNNNNNNNNNNNNNNNNNNNNNNNNNNNNNNNNNNNNNNNNNNNNNNNNNNNNNNNNNNNNNNNNNNNNNNNNNNNNNNNNNNNNNNNNNNNNNNNNNNNNNNNNNNNNNNNNNNNNNNNNNNNNNNNNNNNNNNNNNNNNNNNNNNNNNNNNNNNNNNNNNNNNNNNNNNNNNNNNNNNNNNNNNNNNNNNNNNNNNNNNNNNNNNNNNNNNNNNNNNNNNNNNNNNNNNNNNNNNNNNNNNNNNNNNNNNNNNNNNNNNNNNNNNNNNNNNNNNNNNNNNNNNNNNNNNNNNNNNNNNNNNNNNNNNNNNNNNNNNNNNNNNNNNNNNNNNNNNNNNNNNNNNNNNNNNNNNNNNNNNNNNNNNNNNNNNNNNNNNNNNNNNNNNNNNNNNNNNNNNNNNNNNNNNNNNNNNNNNNNNNNNNNNNNNNNNNNNNNNNNNNNNNNNNNNNNNNNNNNNNNNNNNNNNNNNNNNNNNNNNNNNNNNNNNNNNNNNNNNNNNNNNNNNNNNNNNNNNNNNNNNNNNNNNNNNNNNNNNNNNNNNNNNNNNNNNNNNNNNNNNNNNNNNNNNNNNNNNNNNNNNNNNNNNNNNNNNNNNNNNNNNNNNNNNNNNNNNNNNNNNNNNNNNNNNNNNNNNNNNNNNNNNNNNNNNNNNNNNNNCUUUCCACAAAAUUUGCAUGAAACCCGCUGUUCAUCCGCCCUCCAAUAAAUCAUGCAGUUGUCUCUGCAUACAUCUAUUACCUGAUACGAUAAACCAAGACCAGCUACGAGUUUCUGAACCUCGUAGUAUGAGCCAGGAGCUACAUUAUCUUCAGGUAGAAUACCUUUUACAUAAUCAGCAAUCGCAUCCACACAGUCUUCAGCCAAAUUAUAAUCCGUCUUAAUGCCCAUCAAUCUUGUAGCAGAUGAUAAAGCUGAAUGACCAUCUCUGCAACCUUCGUACAAUGGUUGCUUUCCAGCAUCCAACAUAUCAUAAAAUCUCCUAGCUUCGGCAUUGGGUAAAUCUUCCCCUCUAAAAUGAUCAUUUACCAUCUGCUCAGUACCUACACCGUAAUCUACAUCCGUUCUAAUUGGAUCUUCUAAUCUAACCGGUGGCUGAGGUUCGCUAGUACUACCAAGUUCAUAAUCAGUUUCUCCAUGAUGAUACCAAAUUUUGUAACUUCGUGUAAACCCACUCAAAUAUAAAUGAGUCCAAACAUCCCAUUCUUUAAUAACUUUUUUAUUUUUACAAUUAGAGCAAGGACAUCUUAACAUACCUGUUUUUGCUUCCGGUUGUCGGUGAACUAACCCCAUGAAUUCGGUUAUACCUUGUUGGUAUUCUUCCGUAAGCAAUCUCGUGUUCGGAUCCAAAUGAGGUCGAUCGAUCCAAGAACGAAAAUAAUUGGAAGAAGACAUGUUUUUUAUGAAUCAAAUUCGUGUGUAAAGAAAGUGAGAGGGAGGAUGAAGAUAUGGUGUGAAUGAAGAGGAAGAGGGGUGCUUGUAUUUAUAGGUGAAAUCCUGCCGACGGUCCGAGGAAAUUCCGACGGAAUUCCGAUGCAAACGGCUAGUUCGUCGGAAUUUCCUCGGAAUUUUUAAAAUCCCCCAACGGCUCUCCAACGGCUCUCUAACGUCUAUAAUAUUUCCUCGGAAUUCAUCGGUUUUUUCCGAGGAAUACUAGUUUCCUCGGUAUUCCGUCGGAAUAUUCCGACGAAAUGUGUUUUCCUCGGAAUUCCGUCGGAAUAUUCCGACGGAAUUCCGAGGAAGCAAAAUUUUGUAUUUCCUCGGAAUUGCCUCGGAAAUGCCUCGGUAUAUUCCGAGGAAUUCAUUUUCCGUCGGAUCGUCCGUCAGAAUACCGCUGUUUUCUUGUAGUGAAGGGUUAUUUGUUCAGACGUGGAGUAAUGAGUGGUUAUGUUGACAUGUACGUAGAAGCAUCAGUGAAUUUCGUCCAUAAAUUGAAUUAUGAAAUACUUUGUAGCGUUUUAACAAAUAAAGUCGUGUGUAUGAAUAUUAGAAAAUUACGGAUAGUGAAUUAAAGAACGCGAAAAACGUAUUUCAAAACAUGAUUACGUACGUGAGCCAUUCUUUCGUACUUAUCACGUGAUUGAAUAGACUAAAAUCAUAGGCUAGUUACGUACUAUAUUUCUUUCUAAACUCAUAAUAAGUUUCACACAUUUUCUCAUUUAUUUCUAUUUACAUUUUCCUUUCAAAUAACAUCGGCUGUUGUUCCAAAAUAUCAGUCUCCUAAACUUUCAUAGGUACAAAAUACAAAAUAUCUAUAGACUACAACUAUGAAUUUGUUAUUCACUGUUAUCAAGUAUACAAUGAAAAGUAUAGUGGCCAACUUGUUCACGGUGUGGCUUGUUUUUCCGGUCCAGAUCAGAUCCGAUCUCGGAUCUGGAUCCGUGUAUUGUGCUCAGCUCUAAAUAAAUGGCAUAAUUAACUUAAUAUUCACGUAGAAUGCACUACUUACACAUAACCCUUACUAAUUAUUAACCUUAAUCAACCACUAGCCAGACCCUGCCCUGAUAAGAAGCUGUAGAUGCAUGAGAUUCCAACCUCCAAAAUAUAUAUAAAAUUUUCGGCCAUUUUUUCUUAAAUUGUUCAUUAGUCUAGUGGUAUUGAGAAAGUUGGAACCCUUGCACCCUGAGUUUGAACCAUGAGUUGGUUGUUAGCUUUUUUUUUUUUGAAAUAGUUCAGGACCGCUACUACCACUAGCAAGUAUUAUAAUAUACAAGAUAUGAGCCUAUUGCGUCGUAACGGGUUUUUGUUUGAUGUUUUAAUUUAAUAAAAACCAUAAAAUAAUAAAUUAUUUUAUUAUAGUAUUAUGAUUUUUUUUUUGCAUAUGUUGUUUGAGAUUUAUUUUAUAAUUAAAAUUUAUUUUCACAUAUAAAUUCAAGUUAAUAUUUGUAUUUUAUAAUCAUGGUGCAUAGAUGAAUUGUUAUAAACUUUAUAUAUAUCUUUUAUCUUGUAGCAUAUCAAAUUGUAGAUGUCUUGCGACAACUUUUGCAUCUUGUUGCUUCACAUUUUUGCAUCGAGCACAUGGACACAAUAAAGUUUGCCGCUUCUCGUAAUAUGCUUGAUUACACCCAAAUUGAAUAAAUGCGUUAAUGCCCCCGAAAAAUACUUCUGAAACGGAAUUACUCUCAGGAUCAAUCCUUUGAUCCACCCAUUCCCUAGAUUCAAAGUAAAAAGACAUAGUUUUUGUUUACAAAAUUUGGGUAAACAUCAAAACUUCUUAAUGCUUCAUCCGUGAGAUGUCUAUAUAUUAGAAAGUAGCCACGCUUUAUCCACUAAAGUAGCGUGGCUUUUGAAAAACAUCACUGCAUAAAGCAUCUCAGCCACGGUACAGCCAUAAAUAAACCGUGGCUAUGUUACAUUUGGUCAAUACGAUUGGACAUAACACUACUAUUUUGAUGUCUAUAAAAACAAAACGUAGCCACUAAUUAUUGUAGUGGUUAAAUCGUGGCUAGGUCUGUUCCCACAAAAAAAUACGUUGCUAGUUCGUGGCUAGUGUAGCCACACUACUUUUUCGUGAUUUAAUCGCGUCUUUUUUUUUGGGUUUUUCGUGGCUAAUAUUUUUUCCGUGUCUCCGACGUGGCGGUUGCAUGGCUUAUAGCCAUGGUUAUGUAGUGGCACUACCAUGGCUAUGCGGUAGAUUUUUACUAGUGGUUGACAAUGAGAAAGUUGAAGUAGGACACGUCGCAGGAGAGCUACAGAAAGCAGAUAUUCUAACCAAAGUGUUGGGAAGAAUCAAGUAUAAAGAGAUGAGAGAGCUAGUAGGAGUGCAAGAUGUCAAUCAAGUUCACUUCAAAUUUAAAGAGGAGAUUGUUGGAUAAGCUUGAGUUAGCUUGAGAAGCAAGCAACCUAAAUCAAUUGAGUUAUAGAUUAGAAAAUUAUCUAUUGAUGCUUACCUAAUGAGUUUAGGAAGUUUGUGUGGUUAUAUAUAUGGAGAUGCAUGCGUGUUGCAGAACAUAUGAGUUUGAGAGAAUAUUGUGUGCUUGAAUUUUGAGAGAUUAAUAUAAAGUGAGUACUUAUAAUUCUUUAGUUCAUAUUCUAGAGCCGGGACAAUAAUUGACCCCAACAAAGGGUAAUGAUGAUAGUUAAUGUUGUGUACGAGGCUUGUGUUGGCUCUAGGCCUCCAGUCAAUGAAAAAUAUGUUCUUUCGUUUCUCCGGUUCGUUAUCGUCGGGGACGUAUCCACGGUGGAACGAGACGAUGUCUCCGCUCUCGAGUUUCAUUUCUUUGACGAAACGACACCAUCCUUUAGUCAUCACGUAGCUCUGGCUACUGUUCCAAUACGAGUAGCAGAACCUUCACAUCUUUCCGGUUCUGUCUUCAAAGUCCAAUACCGUACCGGUUUGAUUGUCCUCUAAAGGGAAGUAGUUCUCUGCAUGUUGCUUUGGUAUCACGAGCCGGUUUAGUUUCCCGAAGUCGCUUUGUGUUAGCACUUUGUCGAACAUGUGCUCUCCUACCGCCGAGUUGAAGUUGUUGUUGCCGGAGCCACUAGCUCCGGUUUCGGUCGGUUCUUGCCUUCUUGGAUAGGGGUCGUCCUCGUUGUCGACAUAUUCAUCAAGACUAUUAUAUAAACUUUGUUCCAAUUCAAGAUCUUUUAAAAGGUAUUCAACUCUUUUUAGUGGAUGUAAUGAGUGGUUCUUGAGAAUGUGAGAUAAUAUUUAGCAGAUACAAAAAUACAAAAUAAAACCCACAACCGCAAAUAGUAAUCGGUAACUGGUAAUUAAAAUCAGGAGUUAUGAGCAAGUGAGGCACAAAUAAAACGCUAGAAUCCAGAAGAAGAAGACAGACGUACUCUUUAGUAUUUAGAAUUUAUCCAAAUAUUCUCUCUGCAUCAAGUUCCCAUUGAUAUUUUGUUAAAUAUUUUUCUUAAUUUUCAUAAAUGUGUAAAAUAAAUACGAAAUUCGAAAAACAACUAAUGGGUCAUAGUUAACCGUUGUGAUCAAGCCAGUCUGGUCCGACGUUUAGGAUACAUGUUGGGAUCUAAUCUAGGCUCGACACAAGCCAAGAGAGGUUUAGCCAUGAAUAAGUUUUCUUUCGAUUCGACUAGCUCGACUUUGGCCGUCUUUGGAGGAAGCGUCCAGUCGAAUCCUUGAAGAAGCCUUCCCAGCAAUGUAACAAUCAUAUAGGUCCCAAGCUUAGUCCCAACGCAGCCACGCCUACCGGUUCCAAAUGAAACGAGUCGCAUGUCUGGCUCAGUCAACAUCACUUCAUCACCGGUUAGGUGACGCUCAGGCUUGUAGAUGAGUGGCUCGUCCCAUGUUUUAGGGUUUCGACCAAUACCAGGACGACUCACUAGAAUAUGACUGCCUGUCACAUUAAAAUUCAAAAAUAUUAUAUAGAACUGAGUAAAGAAAAACUUAAAAGUGAUAACAAUAUCCAUGUCAUAAUGCAAAUACUCUAGAUAUAUCAAGAACAACAAUAAGUGAAAUUUUGCUUAAUCGCUUUGAAGUUGAAGGGAAAAAGGGGAACUUAAAAGUUAUUUAUAAGGUGAAUGUGUUCUAUAAUAAAAAAGUUAUUUAAUAAAUUAUCAUGGUGUUUUAGAAAAAUAAUAAUAAUAAUAAUAAUAACAAUAAUAAUAAUAAUAAUAAGGAGAUAUAACAAAAUUGUUCUUUUCAACAUGUUGGAACAGAAGUUAUUUUUAAAGGGCAAAUUACUGGAAAAACAAAAAAAGUUAAAAGAUAGAGAAAAUUAGUUUGAGAAAACAUGGGGUUUUUAAUGGAUACCUCCAGUUUUCCUAUUUAUUUAUAUAAAAAUAAAAAGGAUAUGAAAAAUAAAGAAAUUGUUAUUAGAAAUUAUCAUGGUAUUUUAAGCAAAAAAGUAACAAUUAUAAUUAGGAGAUAUAACAAAAUUAUUCUUUAUAUAUGUUGGAACAAAAAGGUUAUUUAAUUUAAAGGCAAUUUACUGAAGAAAAGCAGAAAGAUAGAUACAAUUAGGGUUGCGAAAACAUGUUUUAAUGGAUAUGUACAUCCAAUUUUCCUAAUUAAUUUUAGAAAAAUAAAAGAGAUAUAUACAUAUAUACCUUUUGGGACGAAAUAUCCAGCGAGAGUUGUGUCUUGACGAGCCAUGUGAGGGACGAGGAAAGGGUUGGUAGGGUGAAGUCUAAGAGUUUCUCUGAUACACGCUUUGACGUAAUUUAGCUUUGGUACAUCUGAUUCUUGAACAAGUCUAUCUUUUCCCACAACCCUAUCAAUCUCUUCCACUGCUUGUUCAAGAAUCUCUCUUUGGUUCAACAUUUCCGCUAAUGUCCACUCUAUUACAUUCACUGCAUUAUCAAUGCCCACUACAUCAAGAUCCUGCCAGCAAGAAAAAGAACUUAUCAACAAUAUAUACAAUUUAAAUUAGCAAUAAUGAGUAGAUUUUUAACACGAACAAUGGAAAGAUGUGUGAUUUCUUCUGGCGUAAGCAGCGGCUUGCCCUUAUCAUCUUUGAGAGUGAAGAGGAAAAAAAAAUGAAAUUUUUAAAAUUAACCGUAAACAUAUACUUCCCAAAACUAUCCACCUAAUCAACACUAAAUAACAUAAGAUCCGUAAACCUAUCUAAAUUCCCUAUACUAACCACCUAAUCUAUCCUAAACUAAUCAAACUAGAGAGGAAUUAGGGAGACUUACCAUUGCUACGAAUUAGGGAGGAAGUGGAGAGGAAGUGGAGAGGAAAGACGGAGCGAGCUCGCUCGGGAUAUAUAUAAGAUUACUUGUCCUCGUAAUUUCCUCGUAAACUUACGAGGAAUUACAGAGGCCCGCGUUUUCAGUUACGACGAAAUAGCGACGAAAUACAAAGGCUCGCGUUUUUGUUAACGACGUUUUUACGACGAAAAGGGUUACGUGGAAUUAACGAGUUAACCAGUUACGAGGAAUUAGCGAGCCUUUAUUUUCUAUAAAUACCCACAACUUUCCUUCUCAAACCACCCACACAAACUCACAAAACACACCCUAUCUCAAAUCACACUCCUCACCAAAAUACUUUUCAAAUUAGAAAUAUUUGAAAAAAAAAGAAGAAAAGAAGAUAUUAGAAUUUAUGUGGGUGAGACUUAAGUCUCGCCACAUAUAAUUCCAGUAUCUUUCUUUUUUUCUUUUUUUCUAGUUUUUAUACUCCCGCUUUUCACCAAUUUAGAAAAUUUGGAAAAAAAAAGAAGAGAAGAAGAUAUUUGGAACUCAUGUGGUCGAGACUUACGUAAGUCUCGCCAAAUGUGAUUCAAGCAUCUUUCUUCUCUUCUUUUUUUUAGUAUUUUUUAUAUUUUCGUCGUAAUAUCGUCGUUAUUUUACGACUCUCUUACGACGAUUUUGGCUUACGUGGAAUUAGCGUGCCCCGCUUUUUUAAUUUCGUCGUAAAGUCCUCGUGGCCUUACGAGGUGUUUACGACGAUUCUGUCCUACGUGGAAUAAACGAGUGCCACCUUCGUCAUUUACUUUACGUGGCAUUUACGUCAAUUUAAUUUACGAGGUCUUUACGACGAUUCUGUCCUACGUGGAAUAAACGAGGAUUACGUCGUACAUUCGACGUCAGGUUACGAGGAAUUAACGAGCAGUACGUUUAAAUCCCUAAAAUCCGAAACCCCAAACCCCAAAACCCCAUAUUCCUUAUCUUCUACUUCAUAUAUUCCAAACCCCAUCUUUAUUUUCAUUCCAAACCACAAUUCCCACAUUUACUUAUUUAUAAAACAAACUCCCACAAUUUCUUAUUCAUAAAACAAACUCCCACAUUACCUUAUUCAUAAAACAAACUCUCACAUUACCUUAUUCAUAAAACAAACUACACAAAAUCAAAUACAUCAAUCGGAUACAUCGACAUUCUCGUCAUCACUAGAAAUAUCAUCAUUUUCAUUAAACUCGUCUUCUACAGCUUCGUCUGUGGCAUCAUCGGUAAGAUCUUCGUAUUCGUGAUUAUGCGGAUCAAUGAGAAGGAUGUCAUCAACUUCUUGUUCAGGUUCCUCGACUUCAUUUAUCUGUUCUUCUUGCAAUGGUGGUUCUUCUCCACUGAUGAUUCGUCCUCGAGGUGUAACUUUGAUCACUGCUAACCAAUUUAUACCCGAAUCUCUCAUCCGAGGGUAUGGAAGGAAGCUAACUUGGUCUGCUUGUGAAGCUAAGAUGAAAGGCUCGAAUUUGUUGUACCGACGUCCACCGUUGACAUCAACUACACCAAAUUUGUUAGACCGAACACCUCUGUUGACGACGGGGUCAAACCAUUCACAUUUGAAGAUGACGCAUUUCAGCUUCAGUAUCCCUGGAAAUUCGACUUCAAUAAUCUCCGUCAAGAUCCCGUAGAAAUCUGUUUCCCCUUUCACACAUAUUCCAUAGUUACUGGUCGCCCGCUGUCUACCAUACUCAUAUGUGUGAAAAGUGUAGCCUCGUGUGAAAUACAUCUGUGAUGUGGUGACCUUUACAAGUGGAGAUUGAAUUACUUCGUGUAACCACUUAGGAUAAUCUGCAUCGUCGUCAUAAUCAACCUGCAAAAAUAAAGAGAACAUUAAAAUACAAAUCAUGUAUGAAAAAAUAGUUUGAGUUAUAAUACCUGAUUCCGCAACCACUUAAUGAAGUGCUGAUCUUUCCUUUUGUCUACGUCACUUGUGGAUAUACCAGGAAAUGUUUCUUCGACUUGAGAAACAAAUAGGCUGUAAAAUUAAUCACAUUUCAUAAGAAUGAAUCUCUUGCAAUUAUAUAAUUAAUUAUAUGUGUUUUGAAGUGUCCAUAUAUGUUACCUUUCAAAAUAACGCAUCAAUGGAUCCUCGCAAUUGAGUAGAAUAUAGGUGUGUGCACUAUGAGCGUCUUGUUCACUCGACCACCAAACCUCUUUAGACUUCCCACCGAGUCGUCCAAUCUGGCUAAAGAUCUCUGGAACACCAGCAACUGCAUAUGUUGGCGCAACUCCACCAUCAUCAUAUCUUCUUGGAGCUCUUCUACGGGUACGUACUUUUGACGCAAAGUAGUACGAUGUGAAGUGAGAAACUUCUUCCGUCAAACUUCCAGCAAUUAUAGAACCUUCAACUUUGGCGAGGUUCUUUGCUUUUCCCUUCAAAUAUUUCAUGGCUCGCUCAUACUGAUACAUCCAUCCGUAAUGUACAGGUCCACGAAGCAAUGCUUCAUAUGGGAGGUGGACAGCUAGAUGCUCCAUGACGUCAAAAAAUCCAGGAGGAAAUAUCUUCUCCAAGUUGCACAAUAAGAUGGGAAUGUUCUCCUGAAGCUGUUCUACAACUUCUUCUUUAAGAGUGCGUGUGCUCAGAUCCCUGAAAAAUGCUCCAAUGCCUUUUAUAUUCCAAAAACAAUUAAACACAUUGUUAGUCGUAUAUUAUUUUGAAAACUAGACCGUUAUAAAAUUAUUGUGAUAUAAAACACUACGAACCUGCAAGUGCUUCAUGUACGUUUGUUGGAAGUAGCUCCGCAAAUGCAAAGGGCAGUAGUCGUUGCAUAAAGACAUGACAAUCAUGACUCUUCAUCCCAGAGAACUUUUGACCCUUUUCAACACAUCUAGAGAGAUUUGAAACAUACCCAUCGGGGAACUUCACUUCUGAUGCCACCCAGUUGAACAACACCGACUUUUUUUCUGAAGACAGUCUGAAUAUCGGAACAGGAACUUGUCCAUUGCUUUUAAUAUGUAACUCGCUUCUUGAGCAAAUAUCCGGCAAGUCUAACCUCGAUUUUAUGUUGUCUUUUGUCUUCCCUGGGACAUUCAAUAUUGUAUUCAUGAUGUUCUCAAAGAAAUUCUUCUCUAUAUGCAUCACAUCGAGGUUGUGUCGCAGAAGAAGAUCCUUCCAAUAUGGCAACUCCCAAAAUAUACUCUUCUUGUGCCAGUUGUGAUGAACACCGUAAGAAUCAGGCAUAUUACGAGGGACAUGCCAAUUACCACCCCAACGAACUGUUUCGUUAGCUCCGUAGUAGUCGAUUUGUGCUUCAAUUUGUUCUCCAGUUAGAUAUGGUGGAGAAGUGUCUCUCACAACCCUUUUGUGCCUAAACAAAUUCUUGUUUCUUCGGUAAGGAUGGCCAAUGGGAAGAAAUCGACGAUGACAAUCAAACCAACUUGUCUUCCUACCAUUCUUCAGUUGAAACGCAUUUGUCGUUCCAUUACAAUAUGGACAAGCUAAUCUUCCAUGUGUAGUCCAUCCAGACAACAUCCCAUAUGCAGGAAAGUCACUUAUGGUCCACAAAAGCAUAGCUCGCAUCGUAAAAUUCGUCUUCGUUGAACAGUCAUACGUCCUCACCCCUGUUGACCACAAAUCCUUCAACUCUUUUAUCAGUGGUUGUAGGAAAACAUCCAGGGACCUUUUUGGAUGGUUCGGACCAGGUAUCAAUAUCGUCAAGAAUAGCAACUCCCGUUGCAUGCACAUCUCCGGUGGCAGGUUGUAUGGCGUAAGAAAGACUGGCCACAAUGAAUAUUGUCUCCCUGACAUUCCGAACGGACUAAAUCCAUCUGUGCAUAAUCCGAGAUACACAUUCCGGCUAUUGCUAGCAAAAUCCGGAUGUACUUUGUUGAAAUGUUUCCAGGCUCUUGCAUCUGAUGGAUGAGUCAUCUCACCAUCCGUCUGAGUAUGCUCGGCAUGCCAUCUCAUCUUUGCAGCAGUCUGCUCUGAUUGAUACAAUCUUUUCAAUCUGUCUGUAAUUGGUAGGUACCACAUCCUUUGGUACGGUACCCUAUUACGUCCCCGUCCUUGCGGUUUGAAUCGUGGCUUCUUGCAGAAUCGACAUACUUCUAGCUUCUCAUCAUCUCCCCAAUAGAUCAUGCAGUUGUCGAUGCAGACAUCUAUCAUCUCCGAAGGCAACCCAAGACUAUAAACUAAUUUCUGAAUCUCAUAAUAAGAAUCAGCAGACACAUUGUCUUCCGGCAAAUACUCUUUAAACAAGUCCGCCCAUUCGUUCAUGCAACUUUCAGGUAGAUUGUGAUCAGUUUUAAUAUUCAUCAUUCUAGCAGCCAACGACAAUUUAGAGAGACCUUCUCUACAACCACUGUAAAGUGGUUGAUUCGCCGCGUUUAACAUUCCGUAAAACUUUUUUGCAUCUAUAUUAGGUUCUUCAUCUUCAUCAUGAGCUACGAAUGCAUCAGCUACCAUAUCAUGAACUCUAUCAUAAUCUACCAUCUCCUCCUGAUGGUAACUAUGUUCAUUAUGCAAAUGAUGAUUAACCGGUUCUUCCUGAAAAUUGCUAUUACUACUACUAGCUUCAUUCUGAUCAUAAUUAUAACCUUCCCCAUGUUGAAACCAGAUAUAGUAAUUUGGCGUGAAACCUCUAUUUAUUAAAUGCUUCCAAACAUUUUCACGGUUUGCCAAUUUCGAAUUGUUGCAUUUCCGACAAGGACAGAACAUCUUACCACUUUCUUGGGCGAGCGGUGUUGAAUCUGCUUGGUGCAUAAAUGUCUCCAGCCCCGCAAGGUAUUCUUUCGUCACUCUCCCGUUAGCAUCUCUAUGCAUAUACAUCCAAUUCCGCAACUCGUAAAUAGUCCCAGAGCCAGCCAUUUUUUUUUCUUUCACGUUUUUUGUUGUUGGUGUGUUUAAAAUGAUGUUCCAACAUCCAUAUUUAUAGAAAAUUUCGAAUCUGGUAGUUGUAAUUUUACUAUGAAAUUACGACGAAAAUUAAUUGUAUGGCCAAAAAAAAAACGUGAGCCACCUACCAAGUUGGUGGAUUCAAAAUUUCCUCGUUAAGUACACGUAAAAUAUUUCGUCGUAAAGCACUCGCGAAAUUUACGUGGCUUUUACGAGGAAAAAUUAUUUCCUCGUAAAAGCCACGUCAGUUUACAUCGUCUUUACGACGAAUUUUUUUUGUCGUUACCUUACGACGAAAUAACGAUGCUUUUCUUUCUCAACGUAAUUUCCUCGCAAAAUCAACGUUUUUUUACGAGGAAUAGUUUUCCUCGUUAAACUUCCUCGGUAAAGAUACGUUUUCUUGUAGUGAAAGGGCAAUUUACUGGAAAAACAAAAAAAAAAGUUAAACGAUAGAGAAAAUUAGUUUGAGAAAACAUGGGGUUUUUAAUGGAUACCUCCAGUUUUCCUAUUUAUUUAUAUAAAAAUAAAAAGGAUAUGAAAAAUAAAGAAAUUUUUAUUAGAAAUUAUCAUGGUAUUUUAAGCAAAAAAGUAACAAUUAUAAUUAGGAGAUAUAACAAAAUUGUUCUUUCUAUAUGUUGGAACAAAAAGGUUAUUUAAUUUAAAGGCAAUUUACUGAAGAAAAGCAGAAAGAUAGAUACAAUUAGGUUUGCGAAAACAUCUUUAUAAUGGAUAUGUACAUCCAAUUUUCCUAAUUAAUUUUAGAAAAAUAAAAGAGAUAUAUACAUAUAUACCUUUUGGGACGAAAUAGCCAGCGAGAGUUGUGUCUUGACGAGCCAUGUGAGGGACGAGGAAAGGGUUGGUAGGGUGAAGUCUAAGAGUUUCUCUG